UUGAUCCUCAGGAGCCCACCAGCCUUGCAGGGGGCGUCUGAUCCAACAGUUUUUAAAUUCAUUAGAGGAAUUCCUAAAAGGUCUUAGAAUCUAGAGGAGAUGUUUUAACAAACUAGAUUACAGGUGCUAGGGAGCAUGGAACAUUAUUUAAAUGCUGGAAGCUUCUGGUUAGUGGUU